rnacentral:precursor_RNA from 10 species
UAUAAAUGUGUUAAUAUGAGUUUACAUCGCACUCCGUAUAUAAACAUAUAUACAAACAUGUUUAAAUAUAUAUGUUUAUAUACCGACUCUGAUCGGACUCAUUCGUCAUCUGCUUUCCAA